AUAAUAGCAAAUCUGCCAUGGAGGUCUACUAUCCCCAGCUAUGUUAGUGUAUCCAGGAAUUCCUCUUCCGGCUUGACUGAGUGACAGCUGCUUGCCAGUCGGACAUUACGUGUGGCUGAAGCUAACCGUACUCGUACUCCCAGUCCAGAUGGCUCCUCCGCCUGCCUGGACACAUGAAGAUGACAUGAGUCUGCCCGCCCCUGGCUGUAAACUCUGAUGAUGGCCUCUCCUGGCAGGCAACUCAUGCUGAAAAAUCCUGUUGACGAGGAUAAAAUGCAAAAACAAGCCGAGUCGAGUCGAGUCGAGUAGUGUCGAGUCGAGGAAGAGGCGGAGCUAAGUGAAGUGUAGACACAGUGUCGGGCUUUGCAUCCUGGGACGGGACUUGGCUUGGGAUAAGUUUAUUGUUGUAUGUGCCACACGAAUUGUUUUCUGGUCAAAUCUGUCACUCGGCCUGUCCAACUGUCACAGUCUAAAACGAAUAGGAAGAGUAGGAGUUGGGGAAAGAAAAGACCAUGACAUGGACCCUAGUACCAGGACCAGCUAGACUCCAAUCCCCCAUUGCAGGAUUCAGAUUCUAGAGAUUGAUGAUGGCAUUGCGUUGAUUGUGGAAAAUGUGUGAUAACCU
ensembl:ncRNA lncRNA:CR44856 long non-coding RNA:CR44856